rnacentral:rRNA from 1 species
GCAUAUCAAUAAGCGGAGGAAAAGAAACCAACAGGGAUUGCCUCAGUAACGGCGAGUGAAGCGGCAACAGCUCAAAUUUGAAAUCUGGCCUCACGGUCCGAGUUGUAAUUUGUAGAGGAUGUUUCGAGCAUGGUCCGGCCUAAGUGUCUUGGAACAGGACGUCAUAGAGGGUGAGAACCCCGUAUGCGGUCGGGUGCCUACGCUCAUGUGAAACUCCUUCGACGAGUCGAGUUGUUUGGGAAUGCAGCUCAAAAUGGGUGGUAAAUUUCAUCUAAAGCUAAAUAUUGGCCAGAGACCGAUAGCGCACAAGUAGAGUGAUCGAAAGAUGAAAAGCACUUUGGAAAGAGAGUUAAACAGUACGUGAAAUUGUUGAAAGGGAAGCGCUUGCAACCAGACUUGGGCGCGGCCGAUCAUCCGGUGUUCUCACCGGUGCACUCGGUCGCGUGCAGGCCAGCAUCGGUUCUGGUGGCUGGAUAAAGGCCCUAGGAAUGUGGCUCCUCUCGGGGAGUGUUAUAGCCUAGGGUGCAAUGCAGCCUACCGGGACCGAGGACCGCGCUUCGGCUAGGAUGCUGGCGUAAUGGUUGUAAGUGACCCGUCUUGAAACACGGACCAAGGAGUCUAACAUCUAUGCGAGUGUUUGGGUGUCAAACCCAUACGCGUAAUGAAAGUGAACGGAGGUGAGAACCCUUAAGGGUGCAUCAUCGACCGAUCCUGAUGUCUUCGGAUGGAUUUGAGUAUGAGCAUAGCUGUUGGGACCCGAAAGAUGGUGAACUAUGCCUGACUAGGGUGAAGCCAGAGGAAACUCUGGUGGAGGCUCGCAGCGGUUCUGACGUGCAAAUCGAUCGUCAAAUUUGGGCAUAGGGGCGAAAGACUAAUCGAACCAUCUAGUAGCUGGUUCUGC